GGCGUUUCCUGGUGGACUCCGGCUCACAGAAGAGCCUUCUUCCCCCGGCUGGCUCGGACAGGCUAGCUGAGGGCUGCGGGCCAUUGCUAACAGCGGCUAAUGGCUCUCCCAUCAAAACCUUCGGUGAAAGGACUACCCCCGGACCACCGACGUUUGAGCCUCCUUCUGCCUUUCCUGCUCGCCUUCACCAGCCUCGUUCACAGGAUGGACCUUCCUCUGCCUGUUCUCUCCCUCCCAGGUUCAGUCGUUCGGGUCGUUUGCUUAGGCCCAGGGUCCUGGACUGAAUAGAGACCUAACUGUGUGUUCAAGGGGGGGUAUGUGUGGCGGACCACCAGAUGGCUCCACUCACACCCAAGUUGAAGGGAAGAGCUGGGUGGAGAUUUUGGCGCUUACUGUAUCUUAAGUUCUGAGAGACAGUGUGUGAAUAAACAGUUGGAGUGAGACACAGGGA